GACGAACGCUGGCGGCGUGCCUAAUACAUGCAAGUCGAACGCUGAAGGAGGAGCUUGCUUCUCUGGAUGAGUUGCGAACGGGUGAGUAACGCGUAGGUAACCUGCCUGGUAGCGGGGGAUAACUAUUGGAAACGAUAGCUAAUACCGCAUAAUAGUAGAUGUUGCAUGACAUUUGCUUAAAAGGUGCAAUUGCAUCACUACCAGAUGGACCUGCGUUGUAUUAGCUAGUUGGUGGGGUAACGGCUCACCAAGGCGACGAUACAUAGCCGACCUGAGAGGGGGGUCGGCCGCCUUGGGCGGGGGACAGGGCCCAGACUCCUACGGGAGGGAGCAGUAGGGAAUGUUCGGCAAUGGACGGAAGUCUGGCCGAACAGGGCCGCGUGAGGGACGAAGGUUUCCGGAUCGUAAAGCUCGGUUGUAGGUGAAGAACGGGUGUGAGAGUGGAAGGUUCACACUGUGACGGUAUCUGAACAAAAAGGAACGGCUAACUACGUG
rnacentral:rRNA from 1 species